UACGUAGGCAGCAAGCGUUGGUCGGAAUUACUGGGCGUAAAGAGUGUGUAGGCGGUGCUCUAAGUUCGGUGUGAAAUCUCCCGGCUCAACUGGGAGGGUGCGCCGGAAACUGGAAUGCUUGAGCGUGGGAGAGGAAAGCGGAAUUCCUGGUGUAGCGGUGAAAUGCGUAGAUAUCAGGAGGAACACCUGCGGUGUAGACGGCUUUCUGGACCAUUGCUGACGCUGAGACACGAAAGCGUGGGUAGCAAACAGG
rnacentral:rRNA from 1 species